AAGGGGCUUUUUUCGCUUUCUGCGUAGGAGAUACUCAGCGGACAGUGAGAGUAAGGGGGGCUUUUUUUUCAGAAGGCGGCCACUUUGGCUUAGGGAUAUGUAUAGACCCCUCAACGCCACACGCAAGAAAAACAUGGCACAGAAACUACACGACAAGGAUUCUUCCGAUGAGGAAGAGAUUUUCAACAAGGAUGCAGGGGAGCUCGGCGAAGCCUCAGCAGAGAAGAUUCCAAC